CCGGCCUUCCCGCCGCGGGUGCGGCGGUCCCCGCCCCGGCUGCGCCAGUGGCCGCGAGGCUCCGCAGGGCCGUUUCGGGGGCGCCCACGCCCUCCCCUCGACGGCGAAGGACUUACCCCGGGCGGCCCAGAGAACGAGUACUGGUGCCCGACCAGAGCCGCGGCCCCACGUCACCCUAGGUCAAAUUACUUUGGAAUGAAUGAAUCAGGUUUUACAGAUGGAAGAUAUGGGAGUGGGGUUAACUAACUUGGGUAGGGUCACUGUAACGGUGACGGCGGAGACUCAGAGUGAUGUCUUCUGGCGCAGAGGCAGUAAUUCUAUGCUGUCCCAGGUCACAGACUGUGACAACUGGAGGAGGGGCCCUCAGACUGUCCAGCCCAUCCCUCCCAUUUCACAGUGAAGGUGUGAGCUGGAGGCCUCACAAAAACACACAGCUCCUAGGCUUCAGUCCGGCACAUCGAAGAGCACAAAUGAACAUUCUCAUGUCAACUAACUCAACCAGCCAGUGUGUGUGCAGGAUGAGGGCUCAGAACACAUUAAAAAAAUUAUCAAGAUUUAA